rnacentral:tRNA from 1 species
GGAAGGUAUCCGAAUUGGCUCAGGAAGCUGGGUGCUAACCAGUUGCCCUUGACUGGGUUGGACAGGGUUCGAUUCCCCCACCUUCCG